rnacentral:rRNA from 1 species
AGCAUUCUCUGGUGUUGAAGGCCCUGCAAAGCAGCAUCGCGGUGGCGGAGCGUCGUUUGCGACGCCCAACACACAAAACAAGCGGUGAGUGCUUUGGGGUGGGGUGACUGCGUACCUUUUGUAUAAUGGGUCAGCGACUUAUAUUCUGUAGCAAGGUUAACCGAAUAGGGGAGCCGGAGGGAAACCGAGUCUUAAUUGGGCGUUAAGUUGCAGGGUAUAGACCCGAAACCCGGUGAUCUAGCCAUGGGCAGGUUGAAGGUUGGGUAACACUAACUGGAGGACCGAACCGACUAAUGUUGAAAAAUUAGCGGAUGACCUGUGGCUGGGGGUGAAAGGCCAAUCAAACCGGGAGAUAGCUGGUUCUCCCCGAAAGCUAUUUAGGUAGCGCCUCGUGAAUUCAUCUCCGGGGGUAGAGCACUGUUUCGGCUAGGGGGCCAUCCCGGCUUACCAACCCGAUGCAAACUGCGAAUACCGGAGAAUGUUAUCACGGGAGACACACGGCGGGUGCUAACGUCCGUCGUGAAGAGGGAAACAACCCAGACCGCCAGCUAAGGUCCCAAAGUCAUGGUUAAGUGGGAAACGAUGUGGGAAGGCCCAGACAGCCAGGAUGUUGGCUUAGAAGCAGCCAUCAUUUAAAGAAAGCGUAAUAGCUCACUGGUCGAGUCGGCCUGCGCGGAAGAUGUAACGGGGCUAAACCAUGCACCGAAGCUGCGGCAGCGAACGUAUCACUUAAAGCGAUUCAGCGGGUUACGAUUGACGGAGCGAAGCGACGUCAAAGCGUAUACAAAGUCGAGUCGGUUUAAGGAUACGUUCGUUGGGUAGGGGAGCGUUCUGUAAGCCUGUGAAGGUGUGUCGUGAGGCAUGCU